rnacentral:lncRNA from 1 species
UAAAAGAGCCAGUGCUCGUCAACCAAUCAGCGCCGAGGUUUCACGCCAGGCGGAGCAUCUGAUUGGUGCGCGCUGACGCUGUCUCCAUUCUCCUCCGCUCCUCCCUACCUGUGAUAAGAGCUUCCCUGACUACGUCAUGCAGGCAGUGGCCAAAAAGGGAAUGCAUCGGGAUGGAAUGACAAAGUGAGGAUUCCGUGGAUUACAUUUGACUUAAUGAUAGGCAUCAUUCAGUGCUAAGGAAACACAAGGCAGCUGUAAGGCUACCAAAUAAGGUGGGAUUUCAGAUGGAGGAGCACAGAGAAGUGCCUUGCAACACUAAUAAGGUAAACUGUUUAUUAUAUAACUAGCAGCUGACACUGAACCUUGU